rnacentral:lncRNA from 1 species
AGAGGCGUGGGCGGUGAACCCGCGGUUCUGGGGAUCCGCGCCGGGCCGGGCCGCGGAGGUUGGGUAAAGAGAGGUGUUUGAAGUGUUUCAGGUGUGCCUGCAGGCUGCUGCUGUGGACGCGCGUGCUGGAAUCCGGGGCAAGGUCCUGAGUCUGCUACUGCUUUCCAAGGUGCGGCCGAAAUGUGUGAGUACAGGUGUGCACGCUUACUGAGAGGCAUGUGCUUACGUGCGUGUGUGUGCAGGUGUGCACGCUCAUCGAGAGGGCACAUUCACACGGUGCGGCGCAGUGAAGGGUAUAUGCAGUAUGCCGUUGUGCUGUUCUUCACACUCUGUGUGCUCGCACAGUUUUGCAAUAACGGGGAAGGUGAGGGGUUUCACAACUACCUUAAAGGAGAAAAUACAGAUUCUAGAAUUCCCCGGGACUCUCACUCCGUGGGUCUGUAGCGGGUCUUAAGGAAUCAUUUUCUCAGGGAAUACGGGUGGUCUGCAGAUUCUCGUGAGAUACAAAUGCUAUUUGUCAAGUAAGAAAGUAAAAGUCGAGGUGUCCUGACCAGCCCAUCUCCUCCUCCACAGGCAGCAUCUGUUCAAAUUGGUAUAGGUCUUUCCAGACAACCUUAUACAUAGAUACGUUACAUACACGCAAGUACUUUUUCCACUCUCCUAAUUUGGAGCCUAUGCUUACUGAGUUUCUAUAACGUCUUUUGAUGUAUAUAUUUAUAGAUUGAGCCUCAUUCUUUUUAACUUCUGGGUAAUAUUCCAUUAAAGGGUGUUUGAAAGUUGUUUUUUUGUUGUUGUUUUUUUUGUAAUUAGACCAUGUCUCAUUUGCCUUUGUUUUGUUUGUUGUGGAAGUAACUCAUACCAAUGGUUAAAAAUCCAAACAGAAGGGAGAAACAUUAAAAGUCUCUGUGUCCACCCUACCUACUCACCUAUCACCUGCGUAUUGUAGACCCAACUACAAUUUCUUUCUAGGUCUUCUGGUUCUUUUCAUUAUAGCUGUAAAUGAUGUACGUCCUGACCCGUCAACCACGAACAGUAUCUUUUCAAAGGGUAAGAAUAUAUUUUCUCUUUCAACUCCUAAGUUUAAAAAUUACAUUACUUUUAGUUCCAACGGGGGAAAAUUUUGUGACUUUAUCUGAAUCAUUAUUUAUAAAAGUACCUCUUACCUGCUGGCUCCCCGCAAUGAGCGAUGAGGAAAUUGGCGUACUUAUAUUCUCUCACUCCCCCAUGUUGUUAGAGUUUUAUCUUUAUACUAUGAAAAUCUCCUCUGCAAGGGUAAUUGCACCUUGCAAACGUUGUAGCGGAUUGAAAAGCAAUCAGCAGCAUUCACAAUAUUAGGAGACCCUCUGUAACAGCUCUGUCGGCAGAGCCCCUAUGCCCUUCAAACAGAACCUUUGCUGCAGCUGGGCCAGCCUGCAGCUGUCGGCGCCCGAGAUGAUUUGCCUGCCAUGGCGUUUUCCAACCACCAGAGGCCGCUCUGCCCGCGUUUGGGGCGGACCUGAAGAGCCCCGGAAUGUGUAUCUCCCCAGAGCACCUGCAACAAUGCGUGGGAACCCCUGGGACAGGACGUGCGUCCAAGGUCUCAGAAGGAGCGGGAUAGUUGAGACAGGCGGAGGAUGGAAAAGGCCUUCGUGAAUUGAGAGAUUGUGCAGAAGACACUAAUGUGCUGGGAAGGAGAAGUCUCUGCUUCCCCCAUUGGAAUCGUCGUCACACAUUGAAGUUAAGUUCGUUCAUUAUUUAAACAAGGAUUUGCUGAUGACAGGUUAGUGGCUUAACGUGUGGACUUUUUGUUUUUUUAAUGGCCACUCCCACUGCAUAUGGAGGGUCCCCUGGCCAGGGAUUGAAUCCAAGCCCCAGCUGCGACCUAAGCCACAGCUGCAGCAACGCCUUUACCCAACUUCGCCAGGUCGGGGAUUGAACCCAAGCCCCCACAGUGACCAGAGCUGCUGCAGUCAGAUUCUUCACCCACUGCAUCACAGCGGGAACUCCUAAAAAGUUUGGACAUUUGAGCUGCCUUACAUGAGUUCAAAUCCUCUUACUAGCUGUGUUGAUUGUAUCAAGUUCCUUAAUCUCUUUGUGCCUCAAUUUCCCAUAUUGUAAACAGGCAAAAGUGUCUGUGUGUGUGUGGAUAUGUGUAGUCAGAAAGACUGUUAGAUAAUAUUGAAUGUCUGAAACACAGUGCAAGAAUAUUAACUAUUAUCAGUAUACAAUAAUUACUGUAAUAGUAAUGUUAUACUGUCAUUAAUAUAUCAAUCUAGUAAGUAUUAUUAACUUAAUAUUAUUAAUUUUCUUUCUAUACAGCCUCACCACAUUUUCUUCAUGAUACUCUGAGCUAGUUUUUGUGUUGUUUUUUUUUUAAAAAAACUCCAUUUUACAGAUAAGACAACUAAUGCUCAGAAAAGUUAGGCGGCUUCCCCACCGUCACACAGCAGCUAAGAUGAACCAUCCAAGUCUACUUGGUUUGCACCAUAUUUUGUGGCAGUGCUCCUGCUGGUGUUUCUAUAAUGUAGCUUAAUUCAGUCAAAUAGCAUGAAAGAAAUUGAAAAAAGUGAUUGAAAGUGAGCAGGGCACGGGAGAGUUCAUUCUGCUUCCCGAAGGCACAUGCAGAGCCAGCAGGGGGCAGCACGCACCAGGACAACCAGAGUACCCUGGAGGCAUUUGUCGGGUGUCCUUUAGCUAGGGUCCCUCUGAGCCUUUUCAGGAUUAAAUUUAUUUAUUUAUUUAUUUAUUUAUUUAUUUAUUUAUUUGUCUUUUCAUAUGGAAGUUCCCAGGCUAGGGGUCUAACCAGAGCUGCAGCCGCCGACCUACACCAGAGCCACAGCAAUGCAGAAUCCAAGCCGCAUCUGCAACCUUCACCACAGCUCACGGCAACGCCAGAUCCUUAACCCACUGAGCGAGGCCAGGGAUCAAACCCGCAACCUCAUCGUUCCUAGUUGGAUUCGUUAACCACUGAGCCAGGACGGGAACUCCCAGGGUUAGAUUUAGAUCACACCAUUUGGGCAGGAAUACACAUGAGUGACAGGUCCUCAGCUCUUCAAAGUGCACGGUGUCAGUUUGUUCCAAUAUUGGAGGUGCAAAUUCCGCUCACUUGAUGCAGCGGUCUGAAUAUUUGUCUUUCCCACAAAAUUCAUAGGUUGCAAUCUUCACGUCCAGUGUGAUGGUUGUAGGAGGUGGGCCUUUGGCAGGCGAUUAGGCCGAGAGGCGGUGCCCUUGUGAUGGGAUCUUUGUAAGAGUCCUAGCUGAGCUCUCCAGCUCUUUUGACCCCCUGCCGGGACACAGGGAGAAGUCUGCAGUUGGCACCCCCUGAGGAGGGUCCUCCCCAGGUCCUGACCAUGCAGCCACCCUCAUCUUGGAUGUCCAGCCACCAGAGCUGUGAGAAAGUCAGUGUCCGUUGUUCACAAGCCACCCAAUCUAUGGGACUUUGUUCCAGCAGCCUGAACUGACCGGGAUGCUUGGUUAAGGCCGUUGGUCAGGUUUCUCCAUUGUAAAGUUAUUGUUUUCCUCUUGUACCUAAUAAGCAUUUUAUGAGACGACAUAGUGGAGAUGUCUUCUCUCUCACUGGCGCUUGCAUCCAGCGUGGUCCCCACCCACGCUGAACCGGGAGCACGGUGCAACCAGUGGGAUGUUGGGGAGAUGGUGAAGUUUGACUUGGAGGCUGGUUCCCAAGGAGAGCACUGUCUCCUGCCUUACUCUCUGGGAUCACAGGCUCUAGAGAAGCCGAAAGUCAUGCCUUCAAAAUAGAUGAGAACUGUAAUCUAAGAUUUUAAAAUAAAUCAGGGCGAAAAUUAAAUUAAAGGGAAACCUCACCAAAAUAGAAUGGGGAGGCCAGAAGGGGGCGCUCUCAUACACGUGCCUCUCAAGAUCAGGGCAGAGCCCAACAGGAAGAGCUGUACCUUGCAUCUCCCUCAGGGAUUGCUGUUUGAGUAUCACCAGCAGGAGGAAGAAAGGUUUUUUGACUGUCACAACUCAGCCAAUGAAAAGCCACUAUACGUCUAAGUACUAAUUUCCUAGAAGGGACUUUUUGUUUCUUACAGCCUCCCAACGUCCCCUUUUCCUCUAGCAAAGCAUUUUCUCUCCUUUCUUCUACUGCACAUGUCUGUGGUUCACCAUCGUCGCCUGUCCCAAAAGGUGAUUAUGUGGUUCUCUUGGAUAAAUCUGUUUUGCUGGUAAAAAAUAACCAGCUGUUUUAUUGUUUUAGGUUUAAAGCAGACAUAAAAAGUAACCUAAGAUAUGGAAAGCAAUAUAUGUCAGAUUUAGAAAAGCUCAGGAGGUGAAAAACUCAGGAAAGGAUUAAAAGUUGUAUGUGUCAAAGUAAUCCAAGAACAAAUUAACAAAACUGUAGGUCACAGAGGCAGCUUGCGUCCAGUGUUCCUGUGGCUGUGGCGUAGGCAGGCAGCCGUAGCUCUGAUUAUGCGUUAAGAGAAAUAAAGCAAAGAAGUAGGAAGAUAUUAAAAGAUAUUAUUGGGGCCAUAAUAAUGGGUACUCAAAGAUAUCCACCUACUAAUCCCCAGAACCUGUGUGCAUGUUUGCUUACACAGCAAAAGAGACUUUGCAGGUGUGGUUAAAUUAAGGAUCUCAAAACAGGGAGAUUAUCCUAGAUCAUCUGGGUGGGAUUAAUCUAGUCACGCAGGUCCUUAAAAGGAGACAAUUGUUUCUGGCUGUGAUGGGAAGUCAGAAGAGGCCAGGUGUGUAUGUGUUAGGAAGAAACCUAUUCCGGGAUUUCCCUUCAUGGAUCAGCUGUUAAGAACCUGAUUAGGAUCCGUGAGGUUGCGGGUUCGAUCCCUGGCCUCACUGUGGGUCAAGGGAGGAUCCAGCAUCGCAGAGAGCUGCGGUGUAGGUCACAGAUGAGGCUCAGAUUCUGUGUUGCUGUGGCUGUGGUGUAGGUCAGCAGCUGUAGCUCCGAUUCGACCCCUAGCCCGGGAACCUCCAUAUGUCACAGGUGCAGUCCUAAAAAGAAAAAAAAAAAGAAACCUGUUUGAGCUGAAAUAGAAUGAUGAUCCCAAAGAGAGUCUAGAAUAAUAAUAAUAACUCCCUAUAUACUGAUAUGCCUGGCCAUUUGGAAAUAGCAAUUAGUUUUGUUUUUUAACGUAAUUAUUUUGGAGAGCCUAAGAAGAAAUGAUAAAAGACUACUGAAUUCCGAACUCUCUGAAAAGAAAACAUUAUAUAAGGAAUAACA